GGUUGUGUAUCACGAGUGCUCGAACAAUCGAGAAUACAACAUGGCAUACGAUCAAAACUUUACACUUUGAGCGGGACCUACUGAUCUAUGAUCCACGUGCUCUGUCGAGCUCUGCCAGGAUCCAGGAUAUUAUCUACAGGAUAAUAAUCCUCGUGGCUACGAUGACACUUACAAUGUCAUUAUAGUCAAUUUUGGACAAUACGAUUAAAGUCUCUGCUAGAUGCCGCGCCUCUGGUACCGGCUUGUUUACGAGGGUGCUGCAAAUCUUCCGACGCAUGUCGACGUACUCCUCGAUUUUAAGACCAGUAUAUUCGUCUUUCAUCUUUCCCAGAACCUUCUUCAUUAGCCGUGAUAUGUAGAGGGUGACCCUGGGAGUAUUAGAAUGUGUCAAAGAGGUGCUCGUGCUCAGCUAUAUCCUUGAACACGUCCUCUGUCUGGAUCUCGAGGAGCAGGCUCCCGUGUCUGUGUGCAGGAUUCGACACCGCUCCCCGUAAUUCGAACAUUAGGUGCUUGGAGAUCCAGACAAUGCCCGUAGCAGAGGGUGGGGAACGUCUCGAUAUUUAAAAAAUAUAUAUAAAGAAAUUA